rnacentral:rRNA from 1 species
GAUGAACGCUGGCGGCGUGCCUAAUACAUGCAAGUCGAGCGAACGGAUGAGGAGCUUGCUCCUCUGACGUUAGCGGCGGACGGGUGAGUAACACGUGGAUAACCUACCUAUAAGACUGGGAUAACUUCGGGAAACCGGAGCUAAUACCGGAUAAUAUAUUGAACCGCAUGGUUCAAUAGUGAAAGACGGUUUUGCUGUCACUUAUAGAUGGAUCCGCGCCGCAUUAGCUAGUUGGUAAGGUAACGGCUUACCAAGGCAACGAUGCGUAGCCGACCUGAGAGGGUGAUCGGCCACACUGGAACUGAGACACGGUCCAGACUCCUACGGGAGGCAGCAGUAGGGAAUCUUCCGCAAUGGGCGAAAGCCUGACGGAGCAACGCCGCGUGAGUGAUGAAGGUCUUCGGAUCGUAAAACUCUGUUAUUAGGGAAGAACAAAUGUGUAAGUAACUAUGCACGUCUUGACGGUACCUAAUCAGAAAGCCACGGCUAACUACGU